UACGGGGGGGGCAAGCGUUGUUCGGAAUUACUGGGCGUAAAGCGCCCGUAGGCGGCCUGACAAGUUGGACGUGAAAGCUCCUGGCUUAACUGGGAGAGGCCGUUCAAAACUGUCAAGCUAGAGUCUGGAAGAGGAGAGCGGAAUUCCCGGUGUAGUGGUGGAAUGCGUAGAGAUCGGGAGGAACACCAGUGGCGAAGGCGGCUUCCUGGACCGAUUCUGACACUGAGGAACGAAAGCGUGGGGAGCGAUCCGG
rnacentral:rRNA from 1 species